UAUUUACUUCUUUCUAUCUUUUAUCUGCGUUCAUACUGGCCUCCCUCCUCACCUUACAAACCCAACAAGCAAACCAUCUUUUUUCUCUCUCAAAGGGCACAGCUCUCCGUCUCUUUAUCUACCGGUACCACUCUCUCUCUCUCUCUCUCUCUCUCUGAGUCUCACACAGACACGCUAAUCUCUUAUUCUAAGAGACACAUAGCUAGGGAGAGUUUAUAAAUUAAUCGAGAUCUGUCACAAACACACACACAUAUAUAUAUAUAUAUAUUGGUGAUGAAUGAUGGAAUCAAUGGAGAGGAAAGAAGCAAUAAAGAUAGAAGAAUCGAUGAGAUCGUUCUGUGAUCAUCUUGCUGUGAGUAACCCAGUAACAGGUAUGAUGGGCUUGUGUGUUGAAGAAAUAGGUGGUGAUGGUGAUGAUGACGAUGAUGAGAAGAGCUCAUUAGGGUUUAUGGAGUUACUGGGUUUUCAAGACCAGAUCACUAGUAAUAGUACUAGUAGUCCACCUUCCAUCUUUGAUGUAUUACAAUUACUACCAUCUUCUACUACUACUACUUCUACUUCAAUACUAGUUCAUCCGGAAUCAUCAUCAUCAUUUAUCCACCACCGCCACCACCGCCCCACCACACCCAACUCUUCUUCCAAUAUUUCAUCUCAAUCCCAAUCCCAAUCCCAAUCAAGUGCCGGUACUAGUACUACUACUCCACCAAAUGAUACACUAAUUCAACAAACCAAGCCCACCCUAGAUGAAGAUGAAGAUGAUGAUGAAGAUGAAGAUCAACAUCACCAAAACAACAAAAAACUGUUGAAAGCAAAGAAAACGAAGCAGAAGAGGCAGAGGGAGCCAAGAUUUGCAUUCAUGACCAAGAGUGAGGUUGAUCAUUUGGAGGAUGGAUACAGAUGGAGGAAAUACGGCCAAAAAGCUGUCAAAAACAGCACUUUUCCUAGGAGCUACUAUCGUUGCACUAAUGGUGCGUGCAAUGUGAAGAAAAGAGUGGAGCGGUGUUUCAAUGAUCCAAGCAUAGUUGUGACCACCUACGAAGGCAAACACACCCAUCCAAGCCCACUACUAGUCAUGUCUCGCCCACCGGCUUCCAACUUCUCCUCCACCACUUAUGCUAUGCCCAGCGCCGCCUUAUCUCAUCAAUCCUUCAAUUCUGGCUAUUUGACUUCCUCUAUUAAUAAUAAUAAUAAUCCUCCUCCUCCUCCUCCUCCUCCUCCUAGUAAUAUUUCUGUCCACCAGAGGCGUUUUUGUGCUCCAUCUUCUUCUGCUUUGCUCAGAGACCAAGCCCUUCUUCAGGACAUUUUCCCAUCCCUACCACCACCACCUGCACCAGCUUGUGAUCAGAAAGCAGGAAGAGUUGUUGAAAACCCUCACCAAUACCUUUGAAUGUCCAGUUAUAAAGCAAUGUUGGACACUUCCAUCCACAAAUUUAAACAUCCGUGUACUUGUAAGGAGAUGGAUUGUGAAAAGUGUACUCAAAGAGAAGGGGCACUGUGCAGGUCUAUGUGAAGCAAUAUGGGAUGUAGAAUGGAACCUCGUCUCACAGCUUUGUGAAAAUUCCAAUUACCACCAUCUGAGAAGUGGAAGACUCUGUCAAAAUCUAUGGCAGUGAUAGCCCAAUCUCUGUCAAAAGAUCAGAAGGGUUUUGAGAGUAAUUUAGUGCGACUUGUAUUCACAAGAUGAUGGUUCGAGAUGCUGCCACACACAUGGCCAGUUGUUUCUAAUAUGUAUUUUAUUAUUGUUGUUUUCCCUUGGAUUUAUUUAUCUUAAGUCAGUGAUCCAAUUUGUAUGAGUAGUUCUUUGUAUAUUAGUUGUUUAUUUA